rnacentral:rRNA from 1 species
CCAGACUCCUACGGGAGGCAGCAGUGGGGAAUAUUGCGCAAUGGGGGAAACCCUGACGCAGCAACGCCGCGUGCGGGAUGAAGGCUUUCGGGUUGUAAACCGCUUUCAGCAGGGAAGAUAAUGACGGUACCUGACUAAGAAGCCCCGGCUAACUACGUGCCAGCAGCCGCGGUAAUACGUAGGGGGCAAGCGUUAUCCGGAUUUACUGGGUGUAAAGGGAGCGUAGACAGCAGAGCAAGUCUGAAGUGAAAGCCCGCGGCCCAACUGCGGGACUGCUUUGGAAACUGCCCGGCUAGAGUGCUGGAGAGGUAAGCGGAAUUCCUAGUGUAGCGGUGAAAUGCGUAGAUAUUAGGAGGAACACCAGUGGCGAAGGCGGCUUACUGGACAGUAACUGACGUUGAGGCUCGAAAGCGUGGGGAGCAAACAGGAUUAGAUACCCGCGUA